rnacentral:ncRNA from 1 species
UAACCUCAGAUCAGACAUGACAACCUACUGAAUUUAAGAAUAUUAGUCAGCGGAGGAAAAGAAAUUAACCAGGACUCCCUCAGGAGUAGCAAGUGAACAGGGAAGAGUCCAGUGUUGAAUCCCUGCCCCACAGUGGGGUGUGGGAAAUGGGGCAUAUUGAAGACCGACUCCCUGGCGAUGCUCAUGGCGGGCCCAAGUCCUUCUGAUUGAGGCCCAGCCCAUGGACGGUGUGAUGCUGGUAGUGGUCCCCAGUGUGCCAGGCCCAGUUCUUCCCAGAGUUGGGUUGCUUGGGAAUGCAGACCAAAGUGAGUGGUAAACUCCAUCUAUGGCUAAAUACUGGUGUGAGACCAACAGUCAACACGUACCAUAAGGGAAAAUUGAAAAGAACUUUGAAGAGAGACUUCAAGAGGGUAUGACCCGCUCUGGGGAUGGUACCAAGUAGGGAGUUUGACUGGGGCAGUCAAGGCAUGUCUUACAUAAUGGCAGAAGGAGUAGGGGACUGCUAAAAACUUUAAAGCCAUCAGAUCUUAUGAGAACUCAUUACCCUGAGAAGAGCAUGGGUGAACCACCCUGUGAUCCAGUCACUUUCCACCAGGUCUUUCCCCUACUUGUGAUGAUUACAAUUUGAGAUGGGGUUUGGGUGGGGACACAGAGCCAAAACAUAUCAUUUCAUCCCGGCCCCUCCCAAAUCUCAUGUCCUUCUCACAUUUUAAAACACGAUCAUGCCUUCCUAACAGUCCAACAAAGU